rnacentral:misc_RNA from 1 species
CGGGGGCUCCGGGUGGACACUUNAAACUCUUGCGUUAAUUAAUAAAUUAAAACUUUUAACAACGGAUCUCUUGGUUCUGGCAUCGAUGAAUAACGCACGAAAUGCGAUAAGUAAUGUGAAUUGCAGAAUUCAGUGAAUCAUCGAAUCUUUGAACGCACAUUGCGCCCCCUGGUAUUCCGGGGGGCAUGCCUGUUCGAGCGUCAUUUCACCACUCAAGCCUCGCUUGGUAUUGGGCAACGCGGUCCGCCGCGUGCCUCAAAUCGUCCGGCUGGGUCUUCUGUCCCCUAAGCGUUGUGGAAACUAUUCGCUAAAGGGUGUUCGGGAGGCUACAAAACAACCCCAUUUCUAAGG